rnacentral:rRNA from 1 species
UACGAAGGGGGCUAGCGUUGUUCGGAGUUACUGGGCGUAAAGAGCGCGUAGGCGGCGCGGUACGACCGCUGUGAAAGCCCCCAGCUCAACUGGGGAGGGUCAGCGGUAACGGCCGUGCUAUGAGUGCAGGAGAGGGAAGUGGAACUCCGGGAGUAGCGGUGAAAUGCGUAGAGACCCGGAGGAACACCAGUGGCGAAGGCGGCUUCCUGGUCUGCGACUGACGCUGUGGCGCGAAAGCUAGGGGAGCAAACGGG